GAACAGUGUUUCAGCGAGACAUCACAUCAACCAGACCUCAUCUGAGAGACUAUGAGUGUCACUGGUUUACUCUGCCUUUCAUUGCAUGGAUUCAUUCUCACAAUACAUGCUCUCCAGCACCAGCGGGUCCGGCCCAACGGGAUGGCCAUUCUGCCCUGUGGUGAGCUGAAGGCUGGGAAAGUGACCUGGAGCAGAGAUCUGAAAGGACACAGAGUGUCCAUCCUCAGCACUGAAAAUGGAGACAUAACCAGACACAUACAGAAUCACAAUCACAGCUCCUUACCAGACCUGUCUCUGGUCAUCUGGUUUGUCUCAUCUUGGGAUGAAGGCUUGUAUUAUUGCAACAGGACACCUGUGGCAUGUCUAACAGUGAAAGCAGCUGAUGGACAGAACAAAGAGGGUCUGACUGCAUGUGUCGAAGGUGAGUCAGAAAACAAGGGCAUCAGUCUCGAAUUUAAAUGCUGCUUCACUACUAUCAGCCU
rnacentral:lncRNA from 1 species